rnacentral:rRNA from 1 species
AUUGAACGCUGGCGGCAUGCCUUACACAUGCAAGUCGAACGGUAACAGGUCUUCGGAUGCUGACGAGCGGCGAACGGGUGAGUAAUACAUCGGAACGUGCCCGAGAGUGGGGGAUAACGAAGCGAAAGCUUUGCUAAUACCGCAUACGAUCUCAGGAUGAAAGCAGGGGACCGCAAGGCCUUGCGCUCACGGAGCGGCCGAUGGCAGAUUAGGUAGUUGGUGGGAUAAAAGCUUACCAAGCCGACGAUCUGUAGCUGGUCUGAGAGGACGACCAGCCACACUGGGACUGAGACACGGCCCAGGCUCCUACGGGAGGCAGCAGUGGGGAAUUUUGGACAAUGGGCGCAAGCCUGAUCCAGCCAUGCCGCGUGCAGGAUGAAGGCCUUCGGGUUGUAAACUGCUUUUGUACGGAACGAAAAGACUCUGGUUAGUACCUGGGGUCCAUGACGGUACCGUAAGAAUAAGCACCGGCUAACUACGUGCCCGCAGCCGCGGUAAUACGUAGGGUGCGAGCGUUAAUCGGAAUUACUGGGCGUAAAGCGUGCGCAGGCGGUUAUGUAAGACAGAUGUGAAAUCCCCGGGCUCAACCUGGGAACUGCAUUUGUGACUGCAUAGCUAGAGUACGGCAGAGGGGGAUGGAAUUCCGCGUGUAGCAGUGAAAUGCGUAGAUAUGCGGAGGAACACCGAUGGCGAAGGCAA